rnacentral:lncRNA from 1 species
GUAUUCCAUGAAACUUUUCUUGUGGAGGUCCCGAAAGCGAGUAGCCUCCGCGGUGGCCUCUGAGUGGCUCUCCCUCAACCGGUGAAGUUCGUCUUCCAGCUUCUUAGAUUUCUUUGUCAACUGACGAACUUCUCUUUGGAGGUCUCGUAUCGUUGACUUCAAGGGAAUACCCUCCGACAGGAGAAGAGCUUCGACAGGGCACUGUCGCUGGAGGACGAGAGCACCACGACUCAAAUUAAUGCCAGAAGAUAAAAAGAAGGAAAAGGAUACAAAAAAAAAGAAGAGAAAAAAAAGUGGGGGGAUCCUCCGUAAAGACAAAUCCGGCUUCAUUGAUCAAAUAAAUUUCAAGUAUAAGAGAACGAAGGAACAAUCACCAUAAAGA